GAGUCUGCCUUGAAGAUCGGAGUGCUUGCACUCUGUGAAACAAGAUACAGGCUAGCGGCGGACGGGUGAGUAACACGUGGGUAACCUGCCCAAGAGAUCGGGAUAACACCUGGAAACAGAUGCUAAUACCGGAUAACAACAGAUGAUGCCUAUCAACUGUUUAAAAGAUGGUUCUGCUAUCACUCUUGGAUGGACCUGCGGUGCAUUAGCUAGUUGGUAGGGUAACGGCCUACCAAGGCGAUGAUGCAUAGCCGAGUUGAGAGACUGAUCGGCCACAUUGGGACUGAGACACGGCCCAAACUCCUACGGGAGGCAGCAGUAGGGAAUCUUCCACAAUGGACGCAAGUCUGAUGGAGCAACGCCGCGUGAGUGAAGAAGGGUUUCGGCUCGUAAAGCUCUGUUGUUGGUGAAGAAGGACGGGGGUAGUAACUGACCUUUGUUUGACGGUAAUCAAUUAGAAAGUCACGGCUAACUACGUGCCAGCAGCCGCGGUAAUACGUAGGUGGCAAGCGUUGUCCGGAUUUAUUGGGCGUAAAGCGAGUGCAGGCGGUUCGAUAAGUCUGAUGUGAAAGCCUUCGGCUCAACCGGAGAAUUGCAUCAGAAACUGUCGAGCUUGAGUACAGAAGAGGAGAGUGGAACUCCAUGUGUAGCGGUGAAAUGCGUAGAUAUAUGGAAGAACACCGGUGGCGAAGGCGGCUCUCUGGUCUGUUACUGACGCUGAGGCUCGAAAGCAUGGGUAGCGAAC
rnacentral:rRNA from 1 species